rnacentral:rRNA from 1 species
UACGGAGGAUGCAAGCGUUAUCCGGAAUGAUUGGGCGUAAAGCGUCCGCAGGUGGCAAUGUAAGUCUGCUGUUAAAGAGUCUAGCUCAACUAGAUAAAAGCAGUGGAAACUACAUAGCUAGAGUACGUUCGGGGCAGAGGGAAUUCCUGGUGUAGCGGUGAAAUGCGCAGAUAUCAGGAGGAACACCAACGGCGAAGGCAGCACUCUGGGCCGGAACUGACGCUGAGGAGCGAAAGCGUGGGUAGCGAACAGG